ACUAGGCCGGAGCGAGGGGAAGCCCUGAAGGGCGGGGAGGGGGAGGAGCCGGAGCGAGCAGGGCCCGCUCAGAAGAGGCCAGGAGGCAGGCGCGGGGGAGCGGCUCCGUGCUGGGCCUGCCCGGGCACCCUGACCCAGCCGCCGCGGAGAAAAGGUGGGACGCCUACCACAGCAUGGUUUUGCCAAGCGGUGCCAUGUCGGCACCCAGGAUCCAAACCGGCCAACCCCUGGCCGCUGAGAAGCAGAACGUGCGCCCUGAAUCGCUGUGCCACCAGGCCGGCCCCAGGGGCCCUGCAUUUUGAUUUGUGAAAUCCAGCAACCCCAGCAGGGGAUAAACCUCUGCCCUCAGCCCUCAUCCAGAACCUUCCAGUAGCUUUAGAGGGGAAAACAGGGAGUGUUUCUAUUACUGUGCACUUUUGGGUAGGGGGAAAUUCAGGGGAUUCUACUUUUUAUUAUUUCUACUUGUAUGUAUCUUCUCAUUUUCUUUAAAGAGUCAGCAUUAGUGUUCCGUAAAAAAAUAAAAUCUUAUAGACACUA